GACGAACGCUGGCGGCAUGCCUAACACAUGCAAGUCGAACGAGACCUUCGGGUCUAGUGGCGCACGGGUGCGUAACGCGUGGGAACCUGCCCUUAGGUUCGGAAUAACUCCCCGAAAGGGGUGCUAAUACCGGAUAAUGUCUUCGGACCAAAGAUUUAUCGCCUUUGGAUGGGCCCGCGUUGGAUUAGCUAGUUGGUAGGGUAAAAGCCUACCAAGGCGACGAUCCAUAGCUGGUCUGAGAGGCUGAUCAGCGACUCUGGGACUGAGACACGGCCCAGACUCCUACGGGAGGCAGCAGUGGGGAAUAUUGGACAAUGGGCGAAAGCAUGAUCCAGCAAUGACGCGUGAGUGAUGAAGGCCUUAGGGUUGUAAAGCUCUUUUACCCGGGAUGAUAAUGACAGUACCGGGAGAAUAAGCCCCGGCUAACUCCGUG
rnacentral:rRNA from 1 species